AAAGAAAAGUGUGAAUGUUGUGGGAACGUGCACAUUGCUACAAUAAAAUUGAUUUUGUUGAAUGUUACAAUAUAUUGCCUUCCCAAAACUCAGUUUUAGGACUUAUGGCAAAAUUAACUGUCAGGACACGCCCACAGUAACGGAUGAACGUGUCUGGGCAAGUCUUAGCGCGUACGUGACUGAUCUGCUGCUGGCCAUGUGGUUAUUUUUCCGUGCUUUUGGAGGGCAUUUCUUCUCAAAACAUACGAGACCAUCAUAUCUACUCCAGGGAGCAUUGCUACUCCCCCCACAAAGCUCUGUCUCAUUCAGAUACAUAUUAUAUAGUGAGGAGUUUGGAAGGUGCAGUUCCACUGAAUCAACGUGUAUGUCUCAGCUGGACGAGGACACUCCAAAGCUCCAGGAGCUGUUCCCUUUGAACAGAGGAGAGGGGUUGGUCAGUGCAUCAACAACUUGUUUAUGGAGCUGAUACAGGAAACUGCAGAUAGCAGUGUGCAUGAGGACCUGAUGCUCUGUGCUUGCCAUGAACCAGAAGCCGUGGAGAAGAGAGAGAAACACGGUGCUUACACGUCUCUGCAGUCUGGCCAGAGCAUGCUGCUUUGUCCUCAGGGUGACACGCGUGCUGAAUCUCCAGGAUCCAUGUAAAGUUUGAGAACUUAUGAGGUAUUUUUUGUGGGACUUGAUGCACUGCGCCCAAAACCAACCUACAAGUUCACAAGCCUAAAAAACAUGCUUCUUGAAGUGAAACGUGAUCGUUGGCCUUGCACUGAAGACUGUUUCAUUUUUUCUGGUCAAGGAUGUUACAUUUUUCUGGGCCUAAUGAGCGUAUUCUGGAGUUGUACCUGAAGGCCUUUCAAGCACUUUUUGGGUCCAAAACUUACUUCUGUAAUCAUUUCUGUUCAUGAACAUUUUUCUGUUAUUGUAAAAUGAUUUAACUGAUGUACUUGCUGAAAUACAAGCUAUUGUGUCAAGCUGCAGUCAGUAAGCUGAGAUCACAUGUUCUAGUAUGUAAACUAGUAUAUUUAAAAAGGAAAAUCUGCUAAUUUAAAACAAUGAUGUCAAAUGAUGCAUUGACUGUUAAGCCGUGAUGUUUCAAAUGGUCAAAUGUGUCAAGAUUAUAAUAUUGAUAAUAUCUGUUUAAUAAAUGCUGGAAUCAAAUACUUCUCGUUUCUUUGGUAAAUGUAUGCCAAUGCUAACUAAUUAUUUUAAGUAAAUUGCACCUUAUAAACAGAAAUAAAGAAUUUGUCAACAUUAAAAAAAAUAAGUGCAGGAUUUAAUUUAAAUCAA